CACGUAGGGGGCGAGCGUUGUCCGGAUUUAUUGGGCGUAAAGAGCUCGUAGGCGGUUUGUCGCGUCGGCCGUGAAAUCUCCACGCUUAACGUGGAGCGUGCGGUCGAUACGGGCAGACUUGAGUUCGGUAGGGGAGACUGGAAUUCCUGGUGUAGCGGUGAAAUGCGCAGAUAUCAGGAGGAACACCGGUGGCGAAGGCGGGUCUCUGGGCAACAACUGACGCUGAGGAGCGAAAGCGUGGGGAGCGAACAGG
rnacentral:rRNA from 1 species